UCAACUCCCCUAUUUCUCAUGGAAGUAAAUGGUUGAAUUUGAUCAAUGUCUCUAUUUGUCCAUGGAAGAAGAAACUAUGAAAGAAACAGAGGUGGCAGAGGAGAUUAACAGAUCAAGCAAUGAUCCUAAUUUAAAUAGAGUUGUACUGCCAGGUUUGGUACCUCAUGUUGGCAUGUAAUUUACAAAUUCAGAUGAAGCUUGGGCAUUUUGGCUGAGCUAUAGUGGGCAGCAAGGCUUUGAGGUCAGAAAAAGGUAUACAAACAAAAGAGCAUCUGAUGGGAAAGUUACAUCAUGUAAAUUUGUUUGUGCAAAUGAGGGUCAUCGAUCACAAGACAAAAGGGACCAUUUAA